CACGUAGGGCGCAAGCGUUGUCCGGAAUUAUUGGGCGUAAAGAGCUCGUAGGCGGUCUGUUGCGUCCGCUGUGAAAACUCGGGGCUUAACCCCGAGCCUGCAGUGGAUACGGGCAGACUAGAGGUAGGUAGGGGAGAAUGGAAUUCCCGGUGUAGCGGUGAAAUGCGCAGAUAUCGGGAGGAACACCGGUGGCGAAGGCGGUUCUCUGGGCCCUACCUGACGCUGAGGAGCGAAAGCGUGGGGAGCGAACAGG
rnacentral:rRNA from 1 species